AAAGCCUGCCUGCUCCUUAAUGACGUCUCUUUCGUUCAGAUAAUGUUGCAUCUUUUGAAUAUUGAACCUAAUCAAUGUCCUUGUUUGGUCCGGGCAGACACACCUGAGCUGAAUCUCACCUGAUCCUGUUUGGUCGGGGGCAGGCACACCUGAGCUGAACUCCACCUGAUCCGGACAUCCUGCUGGUCCCGUCUCCUCAGUUCAUCUGAGCCUCUUCCUCCAGAAAACCUGCUGAGCUCAGCGGUCUGAGACUGAUGUAUCAAUGACCUCCAGUGGGAGUGAUCUUCUUGACCCCACAUGUAGCCGUGUGCUUCCACACGCCUUUCCCUCACGUCUGUCACUAACCUCAUUACUUCUCUACUCCUUCCCCUCUUCCUUCUCCGUGGUUCGAACCUUUACUCUGAAGGAGUGUCUCCUUGAACCUUUACACUGAAGGAGCGUAUUCCUGUCCUCAGAGGGUUCAGCGUUAGGGUUGAGAGUCAGGGUUUAGAGUCAGGGACAGAGCUGGUCAGGGAAUGCUGGUUUUACAUAAACCUUUUCAUUUGCUUUCUGAAUGGUGGUGUCAUUUUGAUGAGAUUAAUUUGGGAAAAUGUUUUCCUCUGCUUUCCUUUACAAAAAUAUGUAUUAAACUUCUGUGUUUGUAACCAGACCAGGUAUCCAUGGCUGAAGGAGCUGAUGGAGGAGCCGUGUUUAAGUUCCUGCCUGGGGGAGGAGCCGUGCUGGAGGCCCUGCCUGGUGGAGGAGCUGAUGGAGGCCCUGCCUGGUGGGGGAGCUGUGCUGAUGGAGGCCCUGCCUGGUGGAGGAUGUCUGUCGUGGGACCAGGACUCUGUCUGAGGAGAGCAGACGGAGGAGCUGAGACGCUGGAGGACAACUAGGAAUCAACCAAAAAGGAUUCCUCGUAAGUUUGUAUUUACUUGCAUGGUUGACUUAACGGGCAAAAUAAAGCUGUUACUUUGACAUGCGUUAACAAACUACCGCUGUGUUUUCUUACUAGAACGUGUUUCUGGAGCAGAGGCGAGCUGGUAGGGGAGCCGUUAAUCUGGAGGAUGACCAUCACUCUACCAACAAGGAUUGUGAGUUUGUAUUAACCUAACAAAGUGGAAAUAAAGGGCUUAAAAUUAAGAAAAACUACAUGUUUGUUACCAGACGUUGGGGCCAGACUCGCGCUGUUUGUUCCAGACCAGGACUCUGGCUGAGGAGCGCUGAUGGAGGAGCCAAGACUCUGGAGGACGACAUCACUCUACCAACAAAGAUCCUCGUAAGUUUGCAUAAAGUAAACAGACUGGACUUGUUGUAACGCAGGAUUAGUUUGUCCAGUAGAAAUUGAGGCAUACUACUGUGGUUGGUUACCAGACAAACUACAGCUGCUACUUUGUUACGCGCCAUUAGAGCCCAACUGCUCCUGUGUUUGACCUUACAAUAGAGACAAAUUACAUUACCAGACCAGGAAUCUGGAGGACUGACGGAGAAGCCGUACAUCUGGAAGGCAAAUCCUGAGGAUGACCAGGACUCUACCAUCAAGGAUUCCUCGUAAGUGUGCAUUAUCUGGACAUAGUGGACUAGGUAGGGGGUUGGGGGUUCAACUCUCAGACCAAUGGUGCCGGGUUCAAGUACUCAGAAUACAGUGAUGCGUCCUAAAGCCUGCCUGCUCCUUAAUGGCGUCUCUUUGGUUUAGAUAAUGUUGCAUCUUUUGAAUAUCGAACCUAAUCCAUGUCCUUGUCUGGUCCGGGCAGACACACCUGAGCUGAACCUCACCUGAUCCUGUUUGGUCGGGGGAAGACGCACCUGAGCUGAACCUCACCUGAUUGGUCGGGGGCAGACUCACCUGAGCUGCACCUCACCUGAUCCUGUUUGGUGGGGGGCAGACUCACCUGAGCUGAACCCACCCUGAUCCUGACAUCCUGCUGGUCCCGUCUUCUCAGUUCAUCUGAGCCUCGUCCUCCAGAAGACCUGCUGAGCUCAGCGGUCUGAGGCUGAUGGAUCAAUGACCUCCAGUGGGAGUGAUCUUCUUGACCCCACAUGUAGCCGUGUCCUUCCACACGCCUUUCCCUCACGUCUGCCACUAACCUCACUACUUCACUACUCUCUACUGCUUCCUCUUUUCUUCCUUCUCUGUGGUUCAAACCUUUUAUACUGAAGGCGCGUCUUCCUGCCCUCAGAGGGUUUAGCGUUAGGGUUGAGAGUCAGGGUUUAGAGUCAGGGACAGAGCUGGUCAGGGAGGACUGCUUUUACACAAACCUCUUCACUUGCUUUCGGAAUGGUGGUGACAUUUUGAAAAGAUUCAUUGGGGAAAAUGUUUUCCUCUGCUUUCCUUUACAAAUUGUAUUCAACUUCUGUCAAGUGUUUUUGUUUAUAUUAAAAUCCCACAUUGACUUCUACAUGUUUGUUGCUGUUCAUUUAAUUGUCCUUUAACUUGGUUAAUGUCAAGCUAAACUCCUGCAAUACAUUUAAUAUACAUGAUUGUUAUUCUGCAAUGUUCACAUAUUCCAUUUUGAAAAAAUAUGAAACCUCCAUAUUACUACUAAAUUCAAG
rnacentral:lncRNA from 1 species